rnacentral:tRNA from 1 species
AGGGUUGUAGCUCAGUGGUAGAGUGCUUGCCUCACACGCGUGAGGCUCAGGGUUCAAUCCUCAGCACCUCAG